AAUUUAAGAUUUAGGGUUUAGGGUUUAGCUGGAAGCGUUAGCGUCGUUAAAAUUAGCGUUUUUAUUUUUUGUAGCUAUUUUUUAUUUAGUUUAAUAUUUUUUAAUUAAUAAUCUAUGUGUAAUUUUGAUAAUGUACUAAAGUAUUGAGUGAAUUUAAAGGUUCAAGUUCUGUCCAAGGAUAAACGAAAGAAAGCAAAAACUCGUUAAUAAUAUUUUUUUUUUGUUUCCUUGUGCAUGUGGAUUCGAUUACUUAUAUUCCCAUUGCUAUGAGAUGGAAACGUGUUGUUAAUGACUCCGAAGUAUAGCUGUAUUAUUCAAAGUUUGAUUCUUACAACAUGGACAGGACAACAGUACUUCAAAGUAACAAUGAUCCUGAAAAAACUUUAAUAGAGAUGGCAUUAGGCAUGAUCCAAACGAAAAGUCAGGUCUGCCAAUGGGAGUUCACAAACAUAUCUACUAAUGAAGAGUGACUGUAUUAAUAAACAUUGAUAAAGGUGGAAUCACUUUGGCUUCGAUCAACCAGUGCGGCUUCCAUGGCCUAAUCUCAUCAAGGUUCUCUCUUGAAUUAGUUAAUAUUGUACCGAUAUGGAACAAAGAGACAUGAUCUAUAGGUACUUGUAAAGGAAGACGCAUAAGUCAAUGAAUGUUCUAAUAUUUUUACUCAAGCAGAAGAGAUGUCUGCUCUCGAUAGAAAAAAAUGGAUGGACAAUGUUGUAUAUGUUUUGACAAACAAGACCACGAAUAUGAUUUUCAUGCAAGAAGCAUUCUAUAUUGUGUGAAAAUAUAUUUCGACAAAUCGAUUAUUUGCUGAUCCUUCAAAAAGUUAGCAAGUAUUUUCUGCAAGAUACGUUUUAGUAUCAACCUUAAAUUUUCAAAAGGACGGUUCCCUUUCUUUAUAUACUUUGAAAUCAAUAUCAAAUUUUAGUAAA